GGCGAUGCGGCGCCACCUUGUGAAGACUUCGACACUUCCGGUUGUGUCAGCAAUCCAGGUCUUUGUCAGGAUCCAGUCCUUUCUGUAGUAACGUGUCCGAAAAGGUGCAACAAAUGCCAGAUGCGUGUUCAAACAAAUAACGUCGAGCGUGGGUGAUCACGAAGAAUACACCAUGCAGUGCGUGGAUAUAGCGGUUUGUGACAGUAAACGUUCUCUACAUGAACGAAAUGUUCAGAAGUUUUGCUGUGCCGACAAUUACUGCAACUAUGUACCAACGCUGACGACACCUGUUACCAUGAAAACACAACCGAUCGUUCAGUCAACAACACCCGUAACAAGGACGACACAACCAAUUGUUCAGUCAACAAAACCCGUAACAAGGACAACACAACCAAUGGUUCAGUCAACAAACCCCGUAACAAGGACAGGACUACCAAUUGUUCAGUCAACAAUACCCGUAACAAGUAUGUUGUUCAUUGCAAGGCAAGGGAUAAAUGGAAAACCCAGAUGCAUGUAAAAAAAUGUACAAAAUAUCGUCUAUCCUGAAUGUUCCAAACAUGCCAAAAAUUAAGCUUCAGGACUUUUGCGCAUACACACAUAACGAUAUUUAGUUAUGUGUUAAACAAUAUUCACAUUCAGUUACAUUUAUAAUUUCUUGUCGGCAACUAUGGAACACAAAAGUAAUACACACUUAUAAAGAAGAUAAUUAAAUGUUAAAAAUAAAGUUCAUUCACAUAUUAAAGGUAAAGUCUUGUUUACAAUUUCAAAGGUGAAGUCGUUUAUAAUACAUUAAUUUCGUGCAAGCGACCUACGAUUCGAACCGGCGUAAAUAGCACAAAAAAACACAAAUUAAAUAAAACGCAGGAGUGUAAACUUUGAAUCGGUCAGGGAAAAGCAUGACAAUACAUAGAAUACUGUUUUUCGUUUCUUUUCGUUCUUUUCGCAGCCCAACAUGUUCCGAUUUGCAAGAAAGAAUCAUUUUUAUUAUGGAGGAAUCGAAUCGAGUGCCGAGCAUUGAGCCAAGCAGAAAGUUCAUGCACGCUAUUGUUGCUGGUUUGCGAAUUGGUCCGAACGCCUCGCUUGUAGCGCUUGUGAGCCACAACGACCGUUACGACCCCGUUGGAUGGCCUCUUACCAAGCUCAGGGUUCAUUUUCGCAAACACCGACGACAUCGGUCUGCAUCACGGAUUUGUGAUUUAUGGUUUCAACGAGUCGGCGUUCCGAGUAUGGACAGAAUCCCAGCGGUAUUCUCAACACCGUAUGCUAUACACGAUACGGUUAAUACCAACGGUGUAUUGAUAUAAUGAUUUACAACUUUGCAAAGUUAUACUCAUUUGUAAAAUGUAUCGACUUCUUUUAAAUUAAAACAAAGAUACGUUUAUAAAGAUUGAUAGAGUUUCGGCCUCAAUAGCUUGAAUAUCAUCGCGGUUAUUAAGUGUAUUUUCAUGUGUUGACGAAUUUCAGAUUUUUUCUGUGGAAAAGACAG